rnacentral:rRNA from 1 species
AUACGUAGGGGGCGAGCGUUGUCCGGAUUUAUUGGGCGUAAAGAGCUCGUAGGCGGCUCAACAAGUCGGCCGUGAAAGCCUGAGGCUCAACCUCAGGACGCCGGUCGAAACUGUUGUGGCUAGGGUUCGGUAGAGGAGAGUGGAAUUCCCGGUGUAGCGGUGAAAUGCGCAGAUAUCGGGAGGAACACCAGUAGCGAAGGCGGCUCUCUGGGCUGAUACCGACGCUGAGGAGCGAAAGCUAGGGGAGCAAACAGGAUUAGAUACCCUGGUAGUCCUAGCCGUAAACGUUGGGCACUAGGUGUGGCGGAUUCAUUGACAUCUGCCGUGCCGUAGCUAACGCAUUAAGUGCCCCGCCUGGGGAGUACGGUCGCAAGGCUAAA